UCUCAUGGAUCCACUGCUUUGUUUUCUCCCACAGUUCAGAUGAAAAUGGACAUGAUAUCAAAAGAUGAUCUCUGGUCUCUAUGUGGUUCUGGCACAGAACACAUUGCUGAUCAAUAUUCAGUCCCCAGCUUGGUCUAGCAUAAUUCUUGAUGAUCAGGUUCUUCCAUGGAACUCUCGGCAUGUCUCCUAACUGCAAAAGAUAUAGCUGUCUUAUGGAGCAGUCUUGUAUCCUCCAGUUUUGAAAUUUCUGCAGAACAUCUCUAGAGGCUAUAACUUUCCUGACCAUCCCAGCUUGCUUGUGCAGGGAUUGGCAUGUCUUCUAUCAAAUUAUGUUUUAUAUACUAAGCUGUUAUCCACCUUAUCCACAGUUUAUCUUUUUUAUGAGCUAGAUCCCAGCAAGUCUUUGCAAUUGCAACCUUGUCCAGAGCAUAAGAUUAAUAAGAUUCAUUCCACCAGCUGAUUUUGGAGUGCAC
rnacentral:lncRNA from 1 species